AUGGACUUGACAAGUCUCACUACGAUGUGGUGGGCCAUAGCUCUUCUUUCCAUUACUGUAUUGGCCACCAAGAUCACAAGAGCAAGAAUCAAAAACAUUGAUCCACAGCGUACAACAGGCCAACUUCCACCCAUGGUGAAUGGACUUGCUCUCCUAGGAUUAUUACCUACCCUUCUGAAGAAGGGUCUACCACCUAUGUUCAAUUAUCUAUAUGUUAACUAUGGCAGUGUCUUCACUGUAAGUUGCUUUGGAGUGAUCAAGGUAACACUCUUGAUCGGGCCAGAGGCGACGACUCAUUUCUUCCAAGGUUUGGAGUCAGAGAUUAGCCAUGGUAAUCUGCUUGAGUUCACAGUACCCAUGUUUGGCAAGGCAGUUGGUUAUGGUAGAGAUACCGCCACCCGAAUGGAACAAAUGCGCUUCCACAGUGAAGCACUGAGGGCAUCCAGGUUAAGGAGCCAUGUUUCUCCAAUGCUUCAAGAAGUGGAGGAUUUCUUUGCAAAGUGGGGAGAGGAAGGCGUAGUUGAUCUAAAGCUUGAGUUCGAGCAGCUACUUAUGUUGAUAUCAGGCCGAUGUUUGCUUGGAAAAGAGGUCCGGGAGAAUAUGUUUGAUGAAGUCUACACACUUUUUCGCGAGAUCGAAAAGGGUGUGACCUUGAUCAGCUUCUUGUUCCCAUAUCUCCCAACUCCAGCAAACCGGCAGCGUGAUAGGGCACGUAUAAGGCUAACAGAGAUCCUCUCUAAUGUUGUCGAGUCCCGUAAGAGCUCCGGGCGAGUGGAGGAGGACACGCUGCAGAAACUGAUUGACUCCAAGUACAAAGAUGGUCGCCCUACAACAGUAGAAGAGGUAGCCGGGUUGAUCAUUGGCUUGCUGUUUGCUGGAAAACACACCAGCUCUCAUACUAGUACUUGGACUGGAGCUUGUCUUCUCAGCCAUCCAGCCUUCUUAAGAGCUGCCAUUGAGGAGCAACAUCAAGUCGCCAAGAAAUACAAGGACGGACCAGAAUACAAUGCCUUCUUAGAGAUGGAUACGCUGCAUAAUUGCAUCAAGGAGGCGCUGCGGAAGAACCCUGCAACACCACUGCUGGUUCGCAGGGUCCAUAAGCGCUUCACGGUGCAGACGAAAGAAGGCCAACAAUAUGACAUCCCGCAGGACUACAUCGUAGCAACUCCUACUAUAGUAAACAAUUAUAUCCCUUACAUUUAUACGGACCCUCAGGUGUAUGAUCCAAAUCGGUUUGGCCCAGAAAGAAGAGAGGACAAAGUGGGUGGCAAGUUCUCUUACACAUCAUUUGGUGGUGGAAGGCACGUUUGCACUGGAGAGGCUUAUGCUUACAUGCAACUCAAAGUGAUAUGGAGCCAUUUGCUGAGGAACUUUGAUCUCGAAUUGGUCUCUCCCUUCCCUAACACAGACUGGAGCAAGUUCUUGCCAGAUCCAAAGGGAAAAUUACUCGUGAGAUAUACGAGAAAUGGAAUUUAA
rnacentral:rRNA from 1 species